UUAAAUUGAAGAGUUUGAUCAUGGCUCAGAUUGAACGCUGGCGGCAGGCCUAACACAUGCAAGUCGAACGGUAACAGGAAGCAGCUUGCUGCUUUGCUGACGAGUGGCGGACGGGUGAGUAAUGUCUGGGAAACUGCCUGAUGGAGGGGGAUAACUACUGGAAACGGUGGCUAAUACCGCAUAACGUCGCAAGACCAAAGAGGGGGACCUUCGGGCCUCUUGCCAUCAGAUGUGCCCAGAUGGGAUUAGCUUGUUGGUGAGGUAACGGCUCACCAAGGCGACGAUCCCUAGCUGGUCUGAGAGGAUGACCAGCCACACUGGAACUGAGACACGGUCCAGACUCCUACGGGAGGCAGCAGUGGGGAAUAUUGCACAAUGGGCGCAAGCCUGAUGCAGCCAUGCCGCGUGUAUGAAGAAGGCCUUCGGGUUGUAAAGUACUUUCAGCGGGGAGGAAGGUGUUGUGGUUAAUAACCGCAGCAAUUGACGUUACCCGCAGAAGAAGCACCGGCUAACUCCGUGCCAGCAGCCGCGGUAAUACGGAGGGUGCAAGCGUUAAUCGGAAUUACUGGGCGUAAAGCGCACGCAGGCGGUCUGUCAAGUCGGAUGUGAAAUCCCCGGGCUCAACCUGGGAACUGCAUUCGAAACUGGCAGGCUUGAGUCUUGUAGAGGGGGGUAGAAUUCCAGGUGUAGCGGUGAAAUGCGUAGAGAUCUGGAGGAAUACCGGUGGCGAAGGCGGCCCCCUGGACAAAGACUGACGCUCAGGUGCGAAAGCGUGGGGAGCAAACAGGAUUAGAUACCCUGGUAGUCCACGCCGUAAACGAUGUCUACUUGGAGGUUGUGCCCUUGAGGCGUGGCUUCCGGAGCUAACGCGUUAAGUAGACCGCCUGGGGAGUACGGCCGCAAGGUUAAAACUCAAAUGAAUUGACGGGGGCCCGCACAAGCGGUGGAGCAUGUGGUUUAAUUCGAUGCAACGCGAAGAACCUUACCUGGUCUUGACAUCCACGGAAGAAUUCAGAGAUGGAUUGUGCCUUCGGGAACCGUGAGACAGGUGCUGCAUGGCUGUCGUCAGCUCGUGUUGUGAAAUGUUGGGUUAAGUCCCGCAACGAGCGCAACCCUUAUCCUUUGUUGCCAGCGGUUAGGCCGGGAACUCAAAGGAGACUGCCAGUGAUAAACUGGAGGAAGGUGGGGAUGACGUCAAGUCAUCAUGGCCCUUACGACCAGGGCUACACACGUGCUACAAUGGCGCAUACAAAGAGAAGCGACCUCGCGAGAGCAAGCGGACCUCAUAAAGUGCGUCGUAGUCCGGAUUGGAGUCUGCAACUCGACUCCAUGAAGUCGGAAUCGCUAGUAAUCGUGGAUCAGAAUGCCACGGUGAAUACGUUCCCGGGCCUUGUACACACCGCCCGUCACACCAUGGGAGUGGGUUGCAAAAGAAGUAGGUAGCUUAACCUUCGGGAGGGCGCUUACCACUUUGUGAUUCAUGACUGGGGUGAAGUCGUAACAAGGUAACCGUAGGGGAACCUGCGGUUGGAUCACCUCCUUACCU
rnacentral:rRNA from 1 species